AAAACAAGCAAAAAAACAAAAAAGAACCAAAAAAAGCCCCAAAACAAAUACAUGUCCUCAGUUCUUAUGACCCUGUUUGACCUCACCCUGUGGGGAAACCCAAGGAAAUGCAAGAAGCAAACUAUCAACACUCCCCUCUAUGGCUCCAGCCCAGCCAAGUGGGUGUCCACCCUCACCACACAAGAUGCCUGAUUAGGGCUGUGUGAUGAGAAAGGUGUGGCUCCUGAUGAGUCCUUGAGCAGCAGGAUGUUUGGAGGGCUGGCAGUGUGACACAGCCCUCCUGGCUGACUAGGCUUGGACAGAUCACUUCACCUCUCUGAACCUCCAUUCUGCAAAAUGGGCGCAGUAGCCUCUCCCUCACUGGGUG
rnacentral:lncRNA from 1 species